rnacentral:rRNA from 1 species
CAAUAGCGUAUAUUAAAGUUGUUGCGGUAAAAAAGCUCGUAGUUGGAUUUCUACCGAAGAUAGCCGGUCGGGUCUUCGACCUUGUAUCUGGUUUUGUCUUUGGUAUCCUCAUAGGGAACGUUUCUGCGCUUUAUUGCGUGGUGCGGUAUCUAUGACUUUUACUUUGAGGAAAUUAGAGUGUUCACGGCAGGCAAACGCCUUGAAUAUAUUAGCAUGGAAUAAUAACAUAGGAUCUUCGUCCUAUUUUGUUGGUUUCUAGGGCUAAGAUAAUGAUUAAUAGGGAUAAUUGGGGGCAUCUGUAUCAACGCGUCAGAGGUGGAACUCUUGGAUUGCGUUGCGACAAACUACUGCGAAAGCAUUUGCCAAGGAUGUUUUCAUUGA